rnacentral:rRNA from 1 species
GACGAACGCUGGCGGCGUGCUUAACACAUGCAAGUCGAACGGAAAGGCCCUGCUUUUGUGGGGUGCUCGAGUGGCGAACGGGUGAGUAACACGUGAGUAACCUGCCCUUGACUUUGGGAUAACUUCAGGAAACUGGGGCUAAUACCGGAUAGGAGCUCCUGCUGCAUGGUGGGGGUUGGAAAGUUUCGGCGGUUGGGGAUGGACUCGCGGCUUAUCAGCUUGUUGGUGGGGUAGUGGCUUACCAAGGCUUUGACGGGUAGCCGGCCUGAGAGGGUGACCGGCCACAUUGGGACUGAGAUACGGCCCAGACUCCCACGGGAGGCAGCAGUGGGGAAGAGUGCACAAUGGGCUGAAGCCUGAUGCAGCAACGCCGCGUGCGGGAUGACGGCCUUCGGGUUGUAAACCGCUUUCGCCUGUGACGAAGCGUGAGUGACGGUAAUGGGUAAAGAAGCACCGGCUAACUACGUG